ACCAAACUGCAGUGAGGCUUAUUUGAGCUCAGUGUGGAUGUUUUAGGCUCACACACGGCAUCCCCAGCCUGGUGAGAGGCGAACUGCCCUUUGCCACAGAUGCAUCCUCAGAGGUGGAGGCUAUAAUCAGGUCACUCAGCAAAUGUCCAGCACCUCCUUGGUGCCAGGCUCACCAUGCUGAGUCCUGGGGCUGCGGCCUUGAAUGAGAGUGCUGGGUUCCUGGCAUCUCAGUACCUGCAGAACCAUGCAGGAGGUAGAGGCAGCAAACGCAGGGCGGGUGAGUCACAGUGGGGCAGGAGAGUCAAGUGGUGUGCAGCCACAGAGGGGCAGACAAGGACUCGUUUAGACAGGGCUGUCAAAAAGACCUUGUUGAGGAGGUGGGCCUGGAACCAGCCAUAACUAUAAAUCCUGAGUGUGAAAUCCCAGAGCUGAAAGUAACCUCGAAGUCACAGGGUAUAACUACACUGGUCACAGAUGCAGAGAUUGCAGGACCAGAACAGAACCUCCUGUGGGAAGAGGCAGAGCCACCGCAGGACCCAGGAGACUGGGUUCCCAGGGCUAUCCUGCCUUUUGCAGGGAGACUCGCCUAUGGGUUCUACUGUAUAAGGUAGAUUCUGAGACGGAAGGAUCUCUCCAAUUCCUAGAUUGUAGAAUUCAGAAACCGAGAGCGAGGCAGCAUUUGCCACACGUGGCAAAUUCACCAGGUCAUGAAUCCUGUCAUAGACUGAGUUUUCUGGAUUAACAAAUUACAUCAAUUCCAAGUCAAUGGAUACCAAACCAUCUUGACUUUCUACUGCAUUGACUCAGCCAAGAAAUUAGCUCACCUCCUGAGAGGUGGGUGGAGGCCUGCCAGAGGUUUAUAGAAACCUUCUGAGGAGCUGCUCUGCUAAGGGUGAGCUUGGCGCUCCUUGCAUUCCCGGGGCCUUCCCUCUGAAGAAUGCAUUGCUGGAGAGGAGCCCUUGCUUUUAGUUCUCAGCUCUCAAGAGUAGGUGCUUUCCUCUGAGCCUGGAGUCUUGUCUUUGUCAAUAAGGCCACUUAUGGAGGCUUGGAAGUUGUGUGGAAGAGGCCAGGGGAGGAGGAUCUGGCUGGAGCAGCUGGGGUAGAGAAAACCCCCACCAUCCAGGAGCCCUGGCUCCAGAAAUAGUAGAAUGAAGGGUGAAGGGCAGUGAGAGGACCCCAGCCAUCUUAGCUGAACUGCACCGAGGCUUCCUGCAGAACUGGGCUCCUCUUGCUAACCUUGGGCCCCUUUCCAUGUGUUCAAGGCUCUCCUUGGAGUCAUGUUGUCCAGUUAUGUGGCACUUGUGGGGCUGAGCUCAGAUCUGGGGUUUGCAGGAUUCAAGACGCCUUCACAUGGGGUAGAGCCUAGAUGUGGCAUGGGGGACAGCUCAUGCAUGAGGUGCAUUUGGCCUUGAGAAGAGACCCAGAGGGGAGGAGGCUGGUCCAGUGCUGGGAGGACAGUCCUAUGGAGCAUUAGGAAUAUCAGCAGGGUAAGUUUCAGACUCUGGUUCCUACAAGACCAGGCAACUUCAGUCGUGUCCUGCUCAGAGGAGGCAUCUCGCACCGGCUGGUCUUGUGGAUAAUCGCACAACUGGUCAUGAGAAAUGCUACGGUGUGGCCUGUCACAGGAGCCGACGUCACACAUAUUUAAGGCUAACACACAUCUGGAGCUUUGAUAGGGCUGUGCUUAUGUCUGCCUUUCACAGAAGAGCAGAAAUGGAGAAAUGAGAGGCCAGGGUGGGUCUGAGGCCAUUCUCCAGUCACUUCAGGCUUGGCUCGCAGCCCGACUUCCUGCCCCACAGCCUCCUGCCCCUGCCGCCAGAACGGCUGAGGCUGCUGAUGACAAAGCCACAGCUCACAGGCUGACAAUUUUGUCUGGACUUCUAUCAAGGCCGGGACGGCAGUCAAUAGCACAUGCAGGAAAUUUUAAAAGAUCAAGAGCAGCUAACAACAAAAUCCACUAUGGGAUGUUUUUAACCAAACAAUCAAGGAUUCAGUGCUUUCCGGGGGUGAGGACCAAAACAGAGCAGGACCGGCAGCCAGCAUCACCUCUUCCAUCUUCCGUCUGUCCUGAACCAGGCAGUACAGCCUAAAAAUAGCGCCUGGACCUCACACCAUCAGUGCUUUUGUUACUUAUUCUCUUUGGUCUUUUGAAAAACAUAUUCAUCGGGACUGAGAGUCUCCCAUCAUUUGUAUUUAUAGAGUCCUUUUUUUCUGAAGUCGUGAACGUGCCUAUUCUCAUUUCUGGGAAGUCAGUGGCAGGACUUCGGUGAGGGGAAAGUGGCUUCAGCUGGGUUAUGGAGGGAGGUGGUAGAAGAGUGAGGUGAGAGCACCAGGCAUCUGGGGAUGGAGCCCGUGAGGGCUCAGUGGCUUUCUGACUCUUCCUAAGAAAGAACAGUG